rnacentral:lncRNA from 1 species
UUGACAAUGAUUUCUAUUAAGUGUCUUUCUAUACUUAUCGCAAUGACUUCCAUCAAGUGUCUGUGUAUGAUUAUCAAAGGCCUGGCUAAUUUAAAUUUCUGGAAUAAAAAGAAACCAGCCUUUAGAAAAUCAAAACGGAAUUUUCAGACUAAAGUCAAGGAAUGUCAAAGUUAGAUUCUCCUCUACAUUGUAACCCUGGAACUGUUUCUGUGUACAGGACAAUGACCCAGCUUCAUGACUCUUCAGGUGACUCAG